rnacentral:rRNA from 1 species
AGAGUUUGAUCAUGGCUCAGAUUGAACGCUGGCGGCAUGCCUUACACAUGCAAGUCGAACGGCAGCACGGGGGCAACCCUGGUGGCGAGUGGCGGACGGGUGAGUAAAGCAUCGGAACGUAUCCUGGAGUGGGGGAUAACGUAGCGAAAGUUACGCUAAUACCGCAUAUUCUGUGAGCAGGAAAGCAGGGGAUCGCAAGACCUUGCGCUCUGGGAGCGGCCGAUGUCGGAUUAGCUAGUUGGUGGGGUAAAGGCCUACCAAGGCGACGAUCCGUAGCGGGUCUGAGAGGAUGAUCCGCCACACUGGGACUGAGACACGGCCCAGACUCCUACGGGAGGCAGCAGUGGGGAAUUUUGGACAAUGGGCGGAAGCCUGAUCCAGCCAUGCCGCGUGAGUGAAGAAGGCCUUCGGGUUGUAAAGCUCUUUCGGCGGGGAAGAAAUUGCACGGGUUAAUACCCUGUGUAGAUGACGGUACCCGAAUAAGAAGCACCGGCUAACUACGUG